AAUAUUGGGACAUAUAAAAAAAGACAACUCUGUUCUGCAGAGUAGCUGUUGACAUUAUAGUUGCGCAGACACUUUGUUGACUCCAGAGAACCUCGGGCCAGUUGCACAUCCCCGUGACGGCGACUUUGCAUUCGGAUGUCAUCCAUAUCAACUUUCGAGGCCAGUUUCUGCACCUACCAUGGUGACCACGGGUAACGGGGAAUCAGGGUUCCAUUCUGUACAGGCAUCCUGAGAAAUGGCUGCCACAUGCAAGGAAGGCAGCAGGCGCGCAAAUGACCCACUCCCGACGCGGGAAGGUAGUGA